CAGAGCGUAGCUAAAACAGCAUAGCAUCUCCCUUACACCGAGAAGACACCCGUGCAAAUCGGGUCGCACUGA
rnacentral:tRNA from 1 species